rnacentral:rRNA from 1 species
CGCGGUGCACAAGCCCGUAAACUUCACAAUGGGGGCACCCCCGAUGAGGGAAUUUCAAGUGCCAGCACCUAUGUGUCGGCUGUUCUCCUGUCUCAAAAACCGGAGAAGUAAGGGCCUGGUAAGACGGGUGCCAGCCGCGGCGAUAAUAUCCGCGUCCCGAGUGUUGGUUUAUAUUAUUGAGCUUAAAUCGUCUGUAGCCGGUCUCGUUAAUCCUUGGGUAAAUCGGCCAGAUUAAUUGUCCGAACUCCGGGGAGUGUACGACAUUUGAGAUCGGGAGAGGUCAAAGGUACCUGUGGGGUAGGGGAAAAAUCCUGUUAUCCUGGAAGGACCUCCCGGUGGAGAAGGCCUGUCGUAGACACGAAUUUGACGGUGAGGGAAGAAGCCCUGGGGCGCAAUCGGGAUUAGAUACCCCGGUAGUCCAGGGUGUAAACGCCCGCGGCCUUGGUGUUGGGGGUCCUUUGUGGGCGCCCAGUGCCGGAGAGAAGCUGUUAAGCCUGCUGCUUCGGGAGUACGUCCUCAAACAGUGAAAACUUAAAGGAAUCGGCGGGCGAGCAC